UCCGGCUUAUCACCGGCAGUCCCCCUAGAGUGCCCAACUGAAUGAUGGCAACUAAGGGCGAGGGUUGCGCUCGUUGCGGGACUUAACCCAACAUCUCACGACACGAGCUGACGACAGCCAUGCAGCACCUGUGUCCGCGUCCCCGAAGGGAGGCCGUGUUUCCACGGCUGUCACCGACAUGUCAAGCCCAGGUAAGGUUCUUCGCGUUGCGUCGAAUUAAACCACAUGCUCCGCUGCUUGUGCGGGUCCCCGUCAAUUCCUUUGAGUUUUAAUCUUGCGACCGUACUCCCCAGGCGGAUGACUUCACGCGUUAGCUGCGUUACUAAGGGAUUUAACUCCCCCAACAACUAGUCAUCAUCGUUUAGGGCGUGGACUAC
rnacentral:misc_RNA from 1 species